GGCCUGGUAGCUCAGUUGGUAGAGCAGGAGACUGAAAAUCUCCGUGUCGGCGGUUCAAUCCCGUCCUAGGCCACCA
rnacentral:tRNA from 1 species